rnacentral:rRNA from 1 species
GACGAACGCUGGCGGCGUGCUUAACACAUGCAAGUCGAGCGGUAAGGCUCCUUCGGGAGUACACGAGCGGCGAACGGGUGAGUAACACGUGAGUAAUCUGCCCUUCACUUCGGGAUAACCACCGGAAGCGGUGGCUAAUACCGAAUACGACCAGUCUUCGCAUGAGGUGCUGGUGGAAAGUCUUUUCGGUGAAGGAUGUGCUCGCGGCCUAUCAGCUUGUUGGUGGGGUAAUGGCCUACCAAGGCUUCGACGGGUAGCCGGCCUGAGAGGGUGACCGGCCACACUGGGACUGAGACACGGCCCAGACUCCUACGGGAGGCAGCAGUGGGGAAUAUUGGACAAUGGGCGAAAGCCUGAUCCAGCAACGCCGCGUGAGGGAUGACGGCCUUCGGGUUGUAAACCUCUUUCAGUACCGACGAAGCGCCCUGUCGGGUGGUGACGGUAGGUACAGAAGAAGGACCGGCCAACUACGUG